rnacentral:snoRNA from 1 species
AUCCUCAGUUCAUAAGUGUGAUGAUUGGAUGCUCAUGCUCCAUGCAUGACAUGUGCCUCCUUUGAACCUUGUUACGACAUCGGCACAUUACCCAUCUGACG